AACAUUUUUGCUGUUAAAAAGAUAAACUAAGGGAUGUUAAAAAUUUUGAGUUUAUUCGAGCAAAAAUUGAUUGGAAUUAGGCGCUGCCAAACCAAAUGUAGUUAGGAGCACUGAGCCAACAGAAUUCAGGGGAAAGGCUUAUAUAGACAGUGCAGAAGCAGGGAAAGGAAAUUAUUUGAUUGGCUAUAUAUUAAAGUCUAGUUGGCUUUUUGUGAUUGGUUAUCCUUAGCGUUUUGAUAUUGGAACCUUGAGGCAUUUACAGGCUUAGAUUUUGGUUUGCACACAUUGGCCACUGUGGCAUUAGAGCCACCUUGAUCUAACGGCCUCCUUGUCUAAUCAAUUUAACAGACUUGAGGGAUAAAAGGAGCUAACCCCGCAGAGAUCUGGAGAUGGAAGAGAAAGGCUGUGAAGCAAAAGAUGUGCGUGGUAAAGUUGGGAGGAUGGAAGGAGCAGCUGGAAGGAGCCCCCCGUGAAAGAGAAGAAUUGCGGUGGUAGUAAGCAGCAUGUGCUUCCAUAGCACCUUCAUGCCUGGGACGCCGAAGAUUUCAGUCCUGGGUUGCUGUCAUGGUGGUGACGAGUCUCAGAAAUCUCAGAACCAUGGAGCCUGCAUGUGGCUAAGAGCUUGGGCUCUAACCUCAGAGUCUGAACCCCUAUUUUUGCCUAAGGCAAGAAGAAUGAAGUGGAAGAGCAGUACCAGAAAAAUGCAGCUUACUCGUCAUUUGCCAGAACUGAGUCAUGAGGGCCACCUCUACCUGCAGGGCGAUCUGAGAAGGUACGUUCACUUUCUUGCAUCUCU
rnacentral:lncRNA from 1 species